AGACUGCUGUGCUAGCAAUCAGCGAGACUCCGUGGGCUAGGACCCUCCGAGCCAGGUGCAGGAUAUAAUCUCAUUGUGCGCCGCUUUUUUAAGUCCGUUGGAAAAGCGCAGUAUUCGGGUGGGAGUGACCCGAUUUUCCAGGUGCCGUCCAUCACCCCUUUCUUUGACUCGGAAAGGGAACUCCCUGACCCCUUGCGCUUCCCGAGUGAGGCAAUGCCUCGCCCUGCUUCGGCUCCGGCACGGUGCGCGCACCCACUGACCUGCGCCCACUGUUUGGCACUCCCUAGCGAGAUGAACCCGAUACCUCAGAUGGAAAUGCAGAAAUCACCUGUCUUCUGCGUCGCUCAGGCUGGGAGCUGUAGAUUGGAGCGGUUCCUAUUCUGCCAUCUUGGCUCCUCCCUAUACUAUCUUCUAGUUUCUUAAGUUGUAAAGGUUCCUUGGAGUCUCAGAAAAACCCAGUGAAUCCAGUCUCAAGUGAACCCAGUGAUGGAGUGUUUUAAAGGAGAUAUUGCACUGAAGUGAUAAAUGUAAGUUGAUGGCCUUCUACUCCAUAUGGACUGUAA
rnacentral:lncRNA from 10 species